UCCUUUGACAACUCUAGAGAUAGAGCUUCCCCUUCGGGGGACAAAGUGACAGGUGGUGCAUGGUUGUCGUCAGCUCGUGUCGUGAGAUGUUGGGUUAAGUCCCGCAACGAGCGCAACCCUUAUCUUUAGUUGCCAUCAUUAGGUUGGGCACUCUAGAGAGACUGCCGGUGACAAACCGGAGGAAGGUGGGGAUGACGUCAAAUCAUCAUGCCCCUUAUGAUUUGGGCUACACACGUGCUACAAUGGAUGGUACAAAGGGCAGCAAAACCGCGAGGUCAAGCAAAUCCCAUAAAACCAUUCUCAGUUCGGAUUGUAGUCUGCAACUCGACUACAUGAAGCUGGAAUCGCUAGUAAUCGUAGAUCAGCAUGCUACGGUGAAUACGUUCCCGGGUCUU
rnacentral:rRNA from 1 species